GUGGGUAUAGCUCAGUGGUAGAGUGCACACCUACCAUGCACAAGGUCCUGGGUUCAAUCCCCAGCACCUCCA
rnacentral:tRNA from 1 species